rnacentral:rRNA from 1 species
AGAGUUUAUCCUGGCUCAGGAUGAACGCUGGCGGCGUGCCUAAUACAUGCAAGUCGAACGAGGUGCUUUUGUAGCAAUACGAGAGUAUCCUAGUGGCGAACGGGUGAGUAACGCGUUGGUGACCUACCCCAAAGUGUGGGAUAACAGUCCGAAAGGAUUGCUAAUACCGCAUGUGGUCAUUGGAUUUAGAAACUGAUGACUAAAGGAGCAAUUCGCUUUGGGAGGGACCUGCGUCCCAUCAGCUAGUUGGUGAGGUAACGGCUCACCAAGGCGACGACGGGUAGGGGACCUGAGAGGGUGACCCCCCACAAUGGAACUGAAACACGGUCCAUACACCUACGGGUGGCAGCAGUAGGGAAUAUUGCACAAUGGGCGAAAGCCUGAUGCAGCAACGCCGCGUGUGUGAUGAAGGCCUUCGGGUCGUAAAGCACUUUUCUGGGAGAUGAGAAAGGACAGUAUCUCAGGAAUAAGUCUCGGCUAACUACGUGCCAGCAGCCGCGGUAAAACGUAGGAGGCAAGCGUUAUCCGGAUUCACUGGGCGUAAAGCGCGUGCAGGUGGUGCGGUAAGUUAGGCGUGAAAUCUCCCGGCUCAACUGGGAGAGGUCGUCUAAUACUACCGUACUUGAGAGCAGAAGAGGAAGAUGGAAUUCCCGGUGUAGUGGUGAAAUGCGUAGAUAUCGGGAGAAACACCGGUGGCGAAGGCGGCUUUCUGGACAGUAACUGACGCUGAGGCGCGAAAGCUAGGGGAGCAAACAGGAUUAGAUACCCUGGUAGUCCUAGCCCUAAACGAUGGAUACUUGGUGUGAGGGG